GCCUUCUCACCUGGACCAAUUGUAAUCCUUCCUACACAAAAGCUUACAACUCCCUUCCCUUCAUGUUCUGAAAGAGGAUCAAUAGGUUUCCGACAAAGAAAAUGGAUCCGGCAUGCAAUCAACACAAUAACAGGCAUCGUGGGAAUUGAAGAGAAAUCAAAAUCAAAACCAGAUAUCAUCUUACAACGAAAGGAGACCAACCUUGAUUGGAUAUGUUACCUACUUCGAGUCCAAAUGUCACCAAGACCGAAAAUCGAUUUGUCCAUUGAUCACUUGUAAGUGCCGUAAAAUAUUCAAGAGCUAAUUUCCUUUGUUCAUCUUAGAUGUGUAAAUAUUAACAGGAUACUUGUAGGAUUUGAUUGAGCCGAGGAAUUCGUUGAUUGGUCAUGUCACUGAUUGUGACACGAACUCCUCCGAACCUCUCAUUCACCUCUAGCCAAGACUCCACAAUCCUUUUCCACAAUCUACCUUUUUAUCCUAUGCAGUAUAGCAGUCAGGGAAGAAUGAAUUGUGAGGGGCGUUCCCUGAGGAGCCACCCAUUUCUGAAGAAGAAGAAGAACAACCCUUCGUCUUCAAAUUUCCCAUAGGAUUGUGUCUUGAUAACCCUAGGAAUAUCAAGUGAAUAAAAUGGACCAAGUUUUUUUUUAUUUCCCCCCAAAAUGCACAGACAGAGGAACGAGGGAUCCAGAAACAGAUGGAAACCGUGCCAUUUCAUCCCUAACAUGUGUGUGUAUAGGAUCCAGGCACUACGCUGCAAUGGUUCCCAAGCCUCCCAACACCCGUCAAACUUGAAUGUAGCUGUUUUCUUACUGUUCCAUUGUUUGACGGAUCCAGUUCACACAUUGGGGUGUUUGACGUGGGUCGGCAUUAGUUUCCCGAGCUUUUAUAACGUCUCGUCGUUCUAUAUGAGUGCCUACCCACAAUUUAUUGUAGCACUAUUACUCCUUGCACCUCGGGGAAAAACUUCCUGUGAAAGCGUCACCUCAAAUGUGUCAGAAAUGAUGAAAGAUUGUCAAAA